rnacentral:misc_RNA from 1 species
UCUCGGCUUAUCACCGGCAGUCCCCCUAGAGUGCCCAACUGAAUGAUGGCAACUGAAGGCAAGGGUUGCGCUCGUUGCGGGACUUAACCCAACAUCUCACGACACGAGCUGACGACAGCCAUGCAGCACCUGUCUCCGUGCCCCUUGCGGGGAAAACCCAUCUCUGAGCCGGUCACGGGAUGUCAAGGGCUGGUAAGGUUCUGCGCGUUGCGUCGAAUUAAGCCGCAUGCUCCGCCGCUUGUGCGGGGCCCCGUCAAUUCCUUUGAGUUUUAGCCUUGCGGCCGUACUCCCCAGGCGGGGCACUUAAUGCGUUAGCUUCGACACCGAUGGGGUCGUUCCCACCGGCAUCUAGUGCCCAUCGUUUACGGCGUGGACUAC